UAAUAUGAAGUGAAUAUCACAAUAAGUUGCAAACUUAUUCAUGCUCAAAGCCAUAUUAA
rnacentral:tRNA from 1 species